rnacentral:rRNA from 1 species
CCUACGGGAGGCAGCAGUGAGGAAUAUUGGUCAAUGGACGAGAGUCUGAACCAGCCAAGUAGCGUGAAGGAUGACUGCCCUAUGGGUUGUAAACUUCUUUUAUAUGGGAAUAAAAUGUUCCACGUGUGGGAUUUUGUAUGUACCAUAUGAAUAAGGAUAGGCUAACUCCGUGCCAGCAGCCGCGGUAAUACGGAGGAUCCGAGCGUUAUCCGGAUUUAUUGGGUUUAAAGGGAGCGUAGGUGGAUUGUUAAGUCAGUUGUGAAAGUUUGCGGCUCAACCGUAAAAUUGCAGUUGAAACUGGCAGUCUUGAGUACAGUAGAGGUGGGCGGAAUUCGUGGUGUAGCGGUGAAAUGCUUAGAUAUCACGAAGAACUCCGAUUGCGAAGGCAGUUCACUGGACUGCAACUGACACUGAGGCUCGAAAGUGUGGGUAUCAAACAGGAUUAGAUACCCGUGUAGUC